UCCUCUAAACAUGGCAUCAUGGAUUCGGAACUCUGGUAUGUGACCAGGAUAUUUAGUGAAAAAACGAACCAGAUGGAUGUGUUGUACCUGAAGCAUAAAUUGUCUUUCAUUUUAAGGACGUAUACGAAAAAAAGACACACCUUCUAUCAGCUAAAAAGUCAGAUUUUCCAUAAAAUAUGCAAAGGGUAUUUGGGGAGUGAGGUAUUGAAUGAUAGUUUUAAUAGACUCUUGACCUUUAUCGGUGGACAGCUGCCAGAAGAUGUCCAGCGUGACGCAGGCGGUACCAUCAUAACGAAUCAUAAGCAUCAAAGAUGGCGGCAGAUGGAAGAACUGACGCAUUUGAAAAUAAAGUUGAAUGCAUCUGUGCGAAGAAGUUUCUUCAGUCAUGAUUGGCUUCUGGAGAGGGUGUGUUCAGGUGAUCCUUAUCUUCUACUCGAAGAGAUUAAAUUGUACCGUAGACGCAAUCCCGAUGACAGAGAGUUUGAUAUUUUGCGAAAAUUACUACAGAUGUCUUCUUUUGCUCUGAUGCAAGACGGCAAGCAGCUGUAUUCGCAAUUGCACGGCAGAGUUCGAAACUUCUUUGCGGACUUUGAAAACAGUAUUAAAUAUCCCACCAUAAAAAGAUUAUACUUAAUGAGUGCCACACCAAAAGUGCCAAGUUUUAUAUCAAGAGGUCCUUGCCUCCGGACCAUUGCCGACGCACAAAAUCCGCACAAGUCUUUGUCUUCCAACGAGACGCAGUAUUUCAGCAAGAUAACUUGGCUGGACCAAGAUGCCAAGUAUUUUGCGACGGUUUCCAGCGAUUUGGAUAAUGUAUCCGUAUGGAGUGCUGUGCAGUUGAAGAGAGUGACCACAUUGACUGAUGUCACAUGCGUGGAGGAUCUGGUCCCGUUGCGUCAGGGCACUGCUGAGGUGCUGUUGGUUCACCACAACAGGAUGGACCUGUAUGAUCUGGCGAAGGGCACCCAGACGGCUCAGAUGGUUGAGUUAGUGGAUAUGUCCCAGAGUGCCAAAGUGCUACCCGAAGGAAAGAAGAUUCUGGCAGUUUCCGCCACGCACGAUACUUUGCUGCUAUUCGAAGUAGUCACGGGUCACGUGGCAUUUCGUAUGUCAGCAGGUGAGAAAAGGCGACUCGAGGGGCUCACCUUGAGCGGCAACGGCCACAUGUGUGUCUGUGGGGACGGUCUGCGCAAGCCCUACCCCUUACUGGCGUGGGACAUUCGCAAGGGAACUCUCCUCCAACAGAUGUCCAUCCGGCAUCACGAGUAUGUCAUCAGGUUCACUCGGGUGGACGAAGAGGGCAGGAAAGUGAUAGCAGUGGCCAAGGAUCUACUGGAUUCUUCUCCGAGCUUCGUAGUGGUUUACGACCUGGCUACUGGGGGACUGCUCUGGGAGACAAGGGCGGGGGCGAGCCUCACAGCCCUGGACUUCUGCCGGGAGAGGAACCUCGUCCUAGCAGCCACCAGUGACAGAAAGAUCCACGCCUGGGAAGGUGCCAAGGGAGCCAAAAGCUCUGCUUGAGACAGUUUUUCUACGGCAGGGGCCAGAAAAUGAGGGUGUCUGCCGCCUUAACGCUUUUUAUGCAACAAAUUCAAUCGAAGAUAGUUAUUGUAAAACUAUUUCCAGAGCUGCAGGCAUCGCUUCAAUUGAUAAAGCAUUUGAAAUGGAGUGUCGCCCCCCAGAUUUGCUCAACCCACCUCAUAUGACAUCGACACAGUGGAAUGUACUGCGGGUGGAACCUUCCUCACUUGGCACAGGCAUUCCCGGGACAGAUCGAUCAGAAUCUUCGACAUGAAAGACGGUUCAAAUGUGGCCGUUUUCACAGUA